UACAGAGGGGGCAAGCGUUGGUCGGAAUUACUGGGCGUAAAGGGCGCGUAGGCGGCCUUCUAAGUCGAACGUGAAAUCCCCGGGCUCAACCCGGGAACUGCGUCCGAGACUGGAAGGCUUGAAUCCGGGAGAGGGAUGUGGAAUUCCAGGUGUAGCGGUGAAAUGCGUAGAUAUCUGGAGGAACAUCGGUGGCGAAGGCGGCAUCCUGGACCGGUAUUGACGCUGAGGCGCGAAAGCCAGGGGAGCAAACGGG
rnacentral:rRNA from 1 species